GCGUCCCAAGGAGAUAUAUAUAUAUAUAUAUAUAUAUAUAUAUAUAUAUAUAUAUAUAUAUAUUUCUGUAUGUUU